UUUCAUUUCCUCAUAUUCCAUUCACCCAUAUGUGAAUGAAAAUUCUUUCACAUAUGGGUGAAUGGAAUAUGGGAGAAUGGAA
rnacentral:miRNA from 1 species